AUGAAAUUUAAAAAAAGAAAGGAAGGUGGAGAAAUGGAGAACAAGAUAAAGGCCUGGAAUCCCUGCUGCUCCAGAAAGAUCUGCAUGCACUCUCUAAAAAGAAGUAGAAGAAGAAGAAAAGAAAAAGAAAGAAAUAUUAUGAAGAACUUUAUGCCAAUAACUUAACAACUUUAAUAAAAUGCACAUAUGUACUGAAUAGCAUGAGCUUCCAUAGCUCAUUCAGGAUGGAAGAACUAGAUUUUGAUUAGCCCUGUAUCUAUUAAGAAGUUAAAUCUUUUUUUCUCCUUUUUUUAAAAAAAGAUUUCUUUCUUUUUUUUCUUGUUACUCUAAUAAAAAGGCAAAAGUAAAAAAAAAUUUUUUUCAGGGGUACAGGUCUGUGAUUCAUCAGUUUUACAUAAUACCCAUUGCUUAUUACAACACAUACCCUCCCCAAUCUACUUUUUAACUGCAAUCUGUUAAAGAAGUUGAAUGAAAAUCCUUUCCACAAAGAAAAUUCACUGGUGAACUCUACCAAGCACUUAAGAAAGACAGAACAUCUAAACAAACUCUUCUAGAAAACUGAAGAAGAGGAAAUACUUUCUAACUCAUUUUCUGAGACUAGUAUUAGUUGACUACCAAAACCAGGCAAAGAUAGUAAUGAAAACUAAAGACCAAUAUCCCCCAGGAGGACAGAUGUAAAAACCCUUAGCAAAACUUUAGCAAGUUAAAUGUGACAAUACAGAAAAAAAUACCAUAGCUCAGGACCAAGCAGGGCUCAUCCCAGAAGUACAGUGCUAGAAGAAGGGCAAGGAGGCUGGUGUGGCUGGACUGAAUGAGCUGGGAAGUGGGAAGAAAUCUGAGCAGUAAAAGGAAGGAGAUCAUGAGGUCUGGGCACAUGUUCUGACUUAACUGGUUUCAAUGACCCUGAACUAAAUGGGUAAUACUAAUGGUAAGCAUUUGAGACCCUUUUAUAGGCAGACAGGGAGGAUUUGGGGGGUAGCAUAAGUAUCACAGAGAAUUGUUAACCUGAUCCUAAGGAUUUGGAUUUUCAAUCCCAGGGAGAGGUACCUGGGAAGCCAUUACAGGGUCUAGAGCAGAAGAGUGAUAUACCAUCAUUUGUGUUUUAACAGUCUAUUUUGUUGAGAACAUAUUUUAAUAGAGUAAGGUUAGAAUCAGGGAGACCAACUAAUAAUAUGUAAAGCAAAGUAUUUUGUAAAUAAUAAACAAGUCAAUAUUAAGAAUCAGUAUUGCAGUAACAGUCAUUUUCUUAAUGUACCAUUUCUGACUAGCUGCUCUACAUAGACUACUUAUAAAUAACAGUCUUUUGAUAAAAUACAUUUUGGUGGGGAGGACUCUCAGAGGAAUGUGGGGAACCUGCUUGGAUGUGUACUAAAGUACAAUGGCACUAAUCGUUCAUUGUCAAAAACAAAAUGUCAUGCUGAAUGAUAGGACUCUGGAAUAAUACGGCAUUCCCUAAUGUGAUGUACUUGGUCCUGACUUGAUUGUGAUGUCAGAAAUACACAAUAUUUAACAUUAUUCCAAAGAGCUGGUCUCCCUUAAACCACCCACCUACAGUCAUCGUUCACCUGACUGAUGGUCAGAGACCCCCUGUAGGGUUUAAUUCCUACUUGUGCCAGAGUAAUCCAGAAGAAGCUCUAUCUGCUACUAGGAACAAAAGUUCCCAGGGCCUAAAGAUAGUGGAUAUAAUAUUUAUCUACAAUGGCCAGAGACAAUUUAAACCUUUCAGGAAGUAAAGAACCAGAAAGACUAAGAACAUAGAACCAAGGCUACAGCCAGGUAAAUGGAACCAAAGAUCAAGUCCAAGACAUGAAGCACCCAUGGGUAACAAGCUUGUGUUGAGGAGGAAUUGGAAUCAGGUUUGUGUUCAUGGGUAAGGUUGUGAAUAUGGAAUACAUAACAGAGUUUUCUUUCACAAAGGAACUAGAAUAUGUUUGAGGGUGGGGUGGCCAUUUCUACUAAGUGAUUUAAAAAACGUAUAUAAUCCGAUACAGGCCUAAUUUAGUGCUCUACAUCAUAAUGAUUCAAUUCGUUUUAACACUCUUAAAAGAAUAAUGCAAUGGUGAGAGUAUUUGGCUCCUUUGCAGGUGGACAGGGACAAUUUUCUUGGAGGAAGUAAGUGCCCUAUAGAGAAUUAUCAACCCCAUCCACAUAUAAAGUCAAUUCUGCUGACAUGUAAAAGUUUUUCACAGGUAGACAAUGCAGUUUCUAUUUAGCACAUGGGCCUUCCACCUGGGAAAGUCCAGCUUGGCGAUGACAUUUCGGUCCAGCUCACAAAGUUUACCUAUUGGCUGCUGUGUGCUUUAUAGUGAUGUUUUCUAAAGCUAAGAA
rnacentral:lncRNA from 1 species